rnacentral:rRNA from 1 species
AACGAACGCUGGCGGCAGGCUUAACACAUGCAAGUCGAGCGAGACCUUCGGGUCUAGCGGCGGACGGGUGAGUAACGCGUGGGAACGUGCCCUUCUCUACGGAAUAGCCCCGGGAAACUGGGAGUAAUACCGUAUACGCCCUUUGGGGGAAAGAUUUAUCGGAGAAGGAUCGGCCCGCGUUGGAUUAGGUAGUUGGUGGGGUAAUGGCCCACCAAGCCGACGAUCCAUAGCUGGUUUGAGAGGAUGAUCAGCCACACUGGGACUGAGACACGGCCCAGGCCCCCACGGGAGGGAGGAGUGGGGAAUCUUAGACAAUGGGGGCAACCCUGAUCCAGCCAAGCCGCGUGAGUGAUGAAGGCCUUAGGGUUGUAAAGCUCUUUCAGCUGGGAAGAUAAUGACGGUACCAGCAGAAGAAGCCCCGGCUAACUCCGUG